rnacentral:rRNA from 1 species
AUUGAACGCUGGCGGAAUGCUUUACACAUGCAAGUCGAGCGGCAGCGCGGGGGCAACCCUGGCGGCGAGCGGCGAACGGGUGAGUAACAUAUCGGAACGUAUCCUAAAGUGGGGGAUAACACAGCGAAAGCUGUGCUAAUACCGCAUACGACCUGAGGGUGAAAGCGGGGGAUCGCAAGACCUCGCGCGAUGGGAGCGGCCGAUAUCGGAUUAGCUUGUUGGUGAGGUAAAGGCUCACCAAGGCGACGAUCCGUAGCUGGUCUGAGAGGACGACCAGCCACACUGGGACUGAGACACGGCCCAGACUCCUACGGGAGGCAGCAGUGGGGAAUUUUGGACAAUGGGCGGAAGCCUGAUCCAGCCAUGCCGCGUGAGUGAAGAAGGCC